rnacentral:rRNA from 1 species
CAGUAGCCGCGGGAAUACGGAGGGAGCUAGCGUUGUUCGGAAUUACUGGGCGUAAAGCGCACGUAGGCGGUUAUUCAAGUCAGAGGUGAAAGCCCGGGGCUCAACCCCGGAACUGCCUUUGAAACUAGAUGACUAGAAUCUUGGAGAGGUCAGUGGAAUUCCGAGUGUAGAGGUGAAAUUCGUAGAUAUCCGGAAGAACACCAGUGGCGAAGGCGACUGACUGGACAAGUAUUGACGCUGAGGUGCGAAAGCGUGGGGAGCAAACAGGAUUAGAGACCCCUGUAGUCCCUGUCUCUUAUAC